CCACAAUUUUCUCCCCGCUCUCUUGAUUCUGAACUGUUUCUACUGAUUUCAACUGAUGUAAAAUACAUCUGACUAAGGCUGCUAUUAUUUUGCCUAGAAUUUAGUUGCUGUUUUGUUGCAUUUAUAGCUGAAAAAAAAAAAAGGCUUUAAAAAAAAAUUAAUUAUUUACAGAUUAGAAAGAAGCAGAGGAGGAACUUUCCAUGCAGCUUAUACCUUGAUGUAAAAGCUGAGAACCACAUUUGAGAAUCACAUCUCUUCCAGAACAGUAAUGGAAGGUUCCAGUUUCAGUCAACACUGGUCAGGGACUCCCUCAUUAGAAAGCCACAUGCUGUCCAAGUACAGGAAUGAAAGCUGCCAGUACAGAACUGGGAGGUCAGCAAUUCUGCCAAUGAGCUCAUCAGGGUCAGCGUGGAUUCUUCAUACACCCCAGCAGGAUACUAUUAAGAUCAUGCUUGCUCUUGUGGUAACCAUUGUUCAGUUCAGGUCUGUUCUGGAAGCACUGAAGGAGUUAAAAGAAUUUUAUUCCAAGAAAAUACAUUCAAAACAAGCAAAUGAAAAGCCAAUGAAGAAUUCAUCUCAGGAUGAAAAAAAUCUGGCUGAUGGCUGCUCUGAAAAGACUGCUUCAGUACUGGAUCAGUGGAUCCAGUUGUUACUGCUUUUCUAGAUUAUGAGACAGCUGUUAUUGGAGAUAUGUCUUCAUAUUGGUCUCAAUGAUAAAGGAACAAGAAAUCACAUUACUUCAGCCCUUGUUACGUCAUCAUCACCAGACCCAUAGAACUUUCAGAGAUAUCAGGAUUUACAGAAGGAUCUUCUAAUGAAGGAAAAAGCUAUUAAAUCAACAGAUCUUUGCAGAGAUGACUGAGAUUCUUCACUAUUUAAGCAAUUUUCAAGAGGAUUAUAUGGUGGCUUAAUUGCAGCUGUUACAUGCAAAACAAUUAGUCAGAUAACCAUGCUAGAAUUGGAAAUGUAAGAUGAUUUAAUUCUAGUGGUCUAAAAAGAAAAUUGCUUUGUUAUUUUGUGAGUAGUCUUAUCUCAUUUUCCAUUAUAACUUAAACUUUGAAUCCACCUUUCAAACAGUAUGCAAGGCAGUUCUUAAAUUAUAGCAAAGGUUUUAUUGUUGUUGCUGUUGUUUACCAGUUUUCAAAGUAUUUGGAAAAUGCAUUCCAGAGGGAAAUGCAAUCAUUUCUGUACAUAUUAUACACCUCCUAUUCACUAUAUUUGGCACCUGUCUACUUGGUAGGCCAAACAAAGCUUAUUCUCUAACAUAAAUGUGAAAAGCUGUGUAAGAGCUUUGUAAAAUUUUAAAAGCAUCAUUAAAGUUAAUCUAGAUCAGUACUCCUACUAUCAUAUGAUUCACACUAAAAAUGGACUUCUUACUCUGCAAUUUCAAGCUAACAUACAUUAAUGUCUAGGUAAGAAUGUUAUAAGAAAUGUCAAAACUUAUAACAGAAACAUUUCUAUGUAGAAUUUAAUUUACCCUUCCAUUUGACAUUCCAAAGAGUAGUUCUCAGAGGCAAUACAUGACCGUAUUUUGUAUUCUUACUGUGCACUUACCUUUUGAAUUAAAAAAAAAAAAAGACAACUUUUUAUGGAAAGAUAACUGUAAUCACAGUCAAGCAUUCUGUGCCUAGCUGUAUUUCUGUUUAUGAACAUAAUUUGGACCUCUUCCAUAUAAGGUUUCUGAACUGUUUGGUCACCUGGGGACAGAAGGAUUUGAGUCCUCAGUUGCAUGAUCACCCAGAGAGCUAUCAUUUCUUGAAGCACCAUAAUGAUAUUUGUAAAACGUAAGUCUGACUAUUCUGACACUUAAAAUAAUUUUGAAGUGUGCAUGAGGUAACUAGCAGGGAAACGGAAAUAGCAAGAAGUUUGACAACUGUAUGUGAGGUUUCUGACUUCAUGAAUCCAAUAACUGCAUUUUUGAAGGGUUUCUGCAUAUAAACUGUAUGAUCAGAUAAGAUAGUGGUAACUUCCAUGUUUUCCCUGAAAAACAAAACAAAACAAACAAACAAACAAAAACUUUCACAAUUUACUCUAAUUCUUAUCAAGUAAACCAAAGAAAUCUAAAAAAAUAUAAGGUAUGGUAAAUUCAAAACUGAGCCACUUAUUCUCUCUUAUUUGCAGAACACAGUUAGCAGCAAGUGUCACAAAUAGGGAAGACAAAGAGAAGAGUCUGUCUUCAACUUUUUAGGAAGAUCUAACACUAAGGUAGCACUAAGACAACAAAGUACUACAGGGCAAAAUUGUAAAGUGAAACAGAAUAAUUUUCAAUCUUGACAAUGAGGAAUUCCAAUCAGUGAUCAUAAAACUAGGUAGAACAGCAAAGUGACAGGUUUAUGACAAUGUAGACAACUGCAAUGCAAAACACUUUUGAAAGAUUUUGCCCUUCAAAAUGUGUCUUUCUCUAUGAGUUAUUCCAAUCAGGAUAGAAAUUCCAUACAGAGAUUCUUGACAACAAUUUGAAAACAGACACUAAAAAAACACUAAAAAUACCAUAACUGUCCAAAUAAGAAGAAAUUAUUCAAAAUGAAAUACCUGCAAAUAUUAAGCUGGAUAUAAAAAAUAUGAUAUUCUAAUGUUCUUUUAUUUAUCUUGUGAUAAAUGCACACAUAUCUCCCUAUUGAUGGCCUCUACAUGAAAAGCAAAAUAAAAUAAAAAGAUAAAUAACUAUUUUUCAAGGAUAUGCUUGUAAGAAAACUGCUAUAAGUAUGGAGCCAUAAAAUCUGUAGAAGACAUAACAUUAAUAAACAUUACAUUAGUUUAUUUUGUGUUAUUCUGUUUCUGAAAUAAUAAAUAUCAUAAGAAUAUGAAUGGAUAAAUCUGUCUACUUUUUUGCCUUAAUUAACUAGCCAG
ensembl:lncRNA